rnacentral:rRNA from 1 species
AGAGUUUGAUCCUGGCUCAGGACGAACGCUAGCGGCGUGCCUAAGGUAUGCAAGUCGAGCGGGAGAGAGGGCUUGCCCUCUCUCUAGCGGCGCACGGUCGAGUAACACGUAGACAACCUGCCCGAGAGUGGGGGAUAACAGCUGGAAACGGCUGCUAAUACCGCAUACGGCCGGGAAGGGCCUCCUUCCUGCGCUAAAGGCGCAAGCCGCUUUCGGAUGGGUCUGCGGCCUAUCAGCCAGUUGGUGGGGUAACGGCCUACCAAAGCGACGACGGGUAGCGGGUCUGAGAGGAUGAUCCGCCGGACGGGGACUGAGACACGGCCCCGACUCCUUCGGGAGGCAGCAAUGAGGAAUAUUGCGCAAUGGGCGAAAGCCUGACGCAGCGACGCCGCGUGGGUGAGGAAGUCCUUCGGGAUGUAAAGCCCUUUUCACCGGGACGACAAAAGACGGUACCGGUGGAAGAAGCCCCGGCUAACUACGUGCCAGCAGCCGCGGUAAUACGUAGGGGGCAAGCGUUGUCCGGAUUUACUGGGCGUAAAGCGCGCGUAGGCGGAAGCGUAAGUGUGGCCUGAAAGCCCCCGGCUCAACCGGGGAGGGCGGCUGCAAACUGUGCUUCUUGAGGGCGAUAGAGGAGUGUGGAAUUCCUGGUGUAGCGGUGAAAUGCGUAGAGAUCAGGAGGAACACCCGUGGCGAAGGCGGCACUCUGGGUCGGCCCUGACGCUGAGGCGCGAAAGCGUGGGGAGCGAACGGGAUUAGAUACCCCGGUAGUCCACGCCGUAAACGCUGGUCACUAGGUGUGUGCGGUAUCGACCCCGCACGUGCCGCAGCUAACGCAAUAAGUGACCCGCCUGGGGAGUACGGCCGCAAGGUUGAAACUCAAAGGAAUUGACGGGGGCCCGCACAAGCGGUGGAGCAUGUGGAUUAAUACGUCACUAACCGUAGAACCUAACCCAGGCUUGACAUCUGCGGAACCCCGGUGAAAGCUGGGGGUGCCGGGUAACCGGAACCGCAAGACAGGUGUUGCAUGGCUGUCGUCAGCUCGUGUCGUGAGAUGUUGGGUUAAGUCCCGCAACGAGCGCAACCCUCACCGGCUGUUGCCAGCACCCGUCAGGGGUUGGGCACUCUGCCGGAACUGCCCGCGCAAGCGGGAGGAAGGUGGGGACGACGUCAAGUCAGCAUGGCCCGUACGCCUGGGGCUUCACACAUGCUACAAUGGCCGGUACAGAGGGUCCCGAUACCGUGAGGUGGAGGCAAUCCCAAAAAGCCGGUCUCAGUUCGGAUCGCAGGCUGCAACUCGCCUGCGUGAAGGCGGAAUCGCUAGUAAUUGCCGGUCAGCUAAACGGCAGUGAAUACGUUCCCGGGCCUUGUACACACCGCCCGUCACGUCACCUGAGUCUGCUGCACCCGAAGCCGCUGGCCCAACCAAGGUUCGUCCUGGAGGGAGGCGUCGAAGGUGUGGCCGGUAAGGGGGACGAAGUCGUAACAAGGUAGCCGU